ensembl:snRNA U4 U4 spliceosomal RNA
AGCUUUAUCAAGUGGCAAUAUCAUAGCAAAUGAGGUUUAUCUGAGGCGUGAUUAUUGCUAAUUAAAAAUACUUAUUAAAC